rnacentral:rRNA from 1 species
GUGUCAGCAGCCGCGGUAAGACGAACCGUGCGAACGUUGUUCGGAAUCACUGGGCUUAAAGGGCGCGUAGGCGGACCACCAAGUCCGGGGUGAAAUCCUCCGGCUUAACCGGAGAAUUGCCUGGGAUACUGGUGGUCUUGAGGGAGGUAGGGGCACGCGGAACUUCCGGUGGAGCGGUGAAAUGCGUUGAUAUCGGAAGGAACGCCGGUGGCGAAAGCGGCGUGCUGGCCCUCUUCUGACGCUGAGGCGCGAAAGCCAGGGGAGCGAACGGGAUUAGAUACCCCGGUAGUCCUGGCCCUAAACGAUGGGUACUAGGUAGUGGACUUGACAUGGGUUCACUGCCGGAGCAAAAGUGUUAAGUACCCCGCCUGGGGAGUAUGGUCGCAAGGCUGAA